GGGGAUGUAGCUCAGUGGUAGAGCAUUCGACUGCAGAUCGAAAGGUCCCUGGUUCAAUCCCGGGCGUCCCCU
rnacentral:tRNA from 1 species